rnacentral:rRNA from 1 species
CAGCCGUAAACUAUGCGCGUUAGGUGUACUGGUGACCACGAGUCACCGGGGUGCCGAAGGGAAACCGUGAAACGUGCCGCCUGGGAAGUACGGUCGCAAGGCUGAAACUUACAGGAAUUUGGCGGGGGAGGCACCACAACGGGUGGAGCCUGCGGUUUAAUUUGGACUCAACGCCGGAAAUCUCACCGGAUAGGACAGACAUAUGAUAGUCGGGCUGAAGACUCUACUUGAUGAUCUGAGAGGAGGUGCAUGGCGUCAGUGACU